rnacentral:lncRNA from 1 species
AAAACCUUGCAAAGCUCUCCAUUUCACCCAGAGUAAAAGCUGAAAUCCUUACUGUGAUCAAUAAGCCCUGUAUGAUCUUUAAGCUCCCUCCCUUCUCUCCCCUGGGCUUAUUCUGUUCUAUCCACCCAAGAUUCCUUUGCUGUUGCUUGAACACUCCAGACAUACUGCUGCCUCAGGGCCUUUGAAAAUACAUCACAUGACUAACUUUGGCAUCUCCUUCAGUCUUCAGUCACAUAUGCCUUUACAGUGCGAUGGCACUGUAGAAGUGUAGGUGAUAUCACAACUUCCUCAAUUCUUUGACUUGUCACAAUGAGCAUAAAUUACUUUUGUAAUUUUAUAGGACACUCAUGGAGGGAAAUCUAUACACAGAAACACACACACACAGGGAGAAAGCCAUGUGAAGACAGGCAGAGACUGGGGUAAUGCAGCUACAAGGGAAUGUCAGAGAUUGCUAGCAAACACCAGAAGCUGGAAGAGGCAAUUAAGGAUUGCUCCCUAGAGCUUUUAGAGGGAGGACGGCUCUGCCACCUGCCUUGUUCUUGGACUCCUAGCCUCCAGAAUUGUGAGAGAAUAAAUUUCUGUUGUUUAAACUGAGGUCACCUGUUGGGCAAUAUCACCAUAGACUGAAUACAGAAGCAGAUAUUAGCCUCCAGCCUCCUGCUCAUCUGGACACUAGAGAGAGUGGAUAUUCUAAAAGCAGAAAUCUUGACACUUAAGCCAAAAAGCCCUCCCAUUCAGAAGGAUGUAUGGAUUUUUCAUACUUGCAUCUGCGGGACGCAGAUGGUCCGAGUCACAAGUAAAGAAUGUCUGGUGGUCUUGGGCAGAGAGAUUCAUGUCAUGAGGAAUCACUAACACCUUGACUCCAGAUCAUGGCUUGAAACACACUGAUUUCUAAAAAGAUAUAAGGAACAUUUAUGAAUGACCAGAAGGAAGUAUUAAUCAAACGAAAUGUUUCCAAUCCUAUAACAGGACACCUUGAUUUAAUCCCAGGAAUGGGAUUUUGCAUAAAAGAAGAAAGCUCAGGAAUGAUAAAUUUACACACCAUGGAUCUAGAAGGGAGUCUAUAACCCCAGAAUCACCAUUAUUUUGGGUGAUCCAUAUGGCUAUCAAUUAAAGUGCUACCUGAGUGCUGUUCAACUUCUUGAGAUGGAUGAAAAAGGAAUGAAAGGAGACAUAGCAAUCUUCAACUCCGCUCCUUUACUUUUGAAUAAGAGGUGAUGGAAGGCAAGGUCAGAGAGAUCUGGGUUCAAAUCUCAUGAUUUAACUGCUAUAUAACCUUGGCCAAAUUAUUUAAACUUUGUGUCUGUUUUUACUUAGCAAUAUAAAGACACUGGUCAUACCCACCACUCAGAAUUUCAAUCAGAACUAAAUGAAAUAAUAUAUGCAAAGUGCUUAAUAUAGUACACCUGGCAUGGAGUGGUAACUCAAUAAAUAGAUCUUUUGUUAUAGUUACAGGAAACUUGAUAAUGAAGAUCUCCACCCUGGUCAAGAACAGAGGAAAGACCUAGAGUGAGGUCAGCUAAAAACAAGAAAGAAAUUUAAAGCAUCCUGGGAAGUCAUCAUACCCUUUUUCUCCAAGAAAAUCUAGUUUUGCUUGUUUUUGUGUAUCCCACAACACCUGUGUUUGACUAUCUUUUUCACUUUGGAUUUGGAUUUUGGUGUGAUAUACACAGUUCCAAAAAAUCAAUGGAUAGAAAACUCAAUGGCAUAAAUAAGGUCCUGCUGCUCGCCACACUGAAAGCCAAUCACUAAGGUGGCAAGUAUUGCCAAGGAAGAAGGCUUUAAUCAGGUGCUGUAGCUGAGGAGAUGGGAGUUCAGUCUCAAAUCCAUCUCCCUGACUGAUUAAACCAGGAGUUUAUAUUUUCCUUAACUUUACCUGACAGAACUACAAAGAUUUAGGAGUGCUUAAAACAAUACUUCAAGAAAUGUUCAACAUUCCACGAGAACAAUAUCCACGUGAGAUGAAAAGAAAAGUCUAAGUUAGUUCCUGAUUCCUGGAAGCUGGGAAGGUCUCAUUCCAGUAACUACUUAAUACCCCCUGUCAGUCUCCUUCAAAGGCUGAAGCCAGCCUCUGACUGAAGCGCAGCCGCAAUGUUUCCUGUCUGGUGCCAGCACAGCUUGCCUGGACUUCUGAAAAUUGCAAGCGCUUGCUCCUUGCUAGUCACCACACUCCCCCUUUCUUAGUUGCAGACUCCCUCUUGCUGUGGUUUACCAGGUGCCCUUAUUGCCCCUCAUGCUUGUGUGCCACUUUGGACUUAAUCUGGCACACUUAACUCCCUUCAUCUACGCCUGAAGCUGGACAAGCUGAAGUGACUGCGUCACUUUCUCAAUUCUGGCUCCUGCCCACCGACCUUGCUCUGCUAGGAGGAAUUAGCUCUGCCUGGCCAGAACCCAAGAAGUGACAAAUCAAACUCGCUCAAUAGGUGGUAAUUAAACUUCUGGCUCUAAAGCCCAGAAUAGGUUGUCAAUGGGAUUUCACAGUGGCUCCCUGACACUAAGCAAGGAUGUAUUUCUACAUCUAGUUUUAAAUCUUAAACUCUAAUAGGAUUCUCAGAAAAGACAGUAAAGACUAAGGCCAAAAAAAGUUGUUUAAAGGGGAAAAUGACAGUAAGUACAAAAGAUAAUCUGGGGAAGACCUGGCAAUUCUGAAAUCAAAACAUCUGUUACUAAGUGGAUCAUGACUGCUUAGUUUCUAGGUGAGCUGAAUAAAAAUACUAACUGAGUCUAGAAUCUUUAAGUAAGCCAUUCAGAAGAUGUGAUACUAUAGAAUGAUACCAACUGAGGAAUAGAGUGGAGAGGAAGGGCUGAAGAUGACUUCAGAAAAAGGCCUGAGGCGUGACAAAUGUUGAUCUCACUCACUGAUCUAUGCUGUAUUUCUUUUAAGAAUGUAUUAAUAUAAAUGUCCUUUUCUUCCCACAUCCAAUCCCUAUUACUACACCAAAUACUUGUUCCUCUAGGAAAUGUGAAGUUGAAAAAAAUUUCCCCCAUUAAAUGAGAAUUAUUCUGCUUAUG